rnacentral:rRNA from 1 species
CCUACGGGGGGCAGCAGUGGGGAAUAUUGCACAAUGGGCGAAAGCCUGAUGCAGCGACGCCGCGUGAGCGAAGAAGGCCUUCGGGUCGUAAAGCUCUGUCCUAUGGGAAGAAAGAUGACGGUACCAUAGGAGGAAGCCCCGGCUAACUACGUGCCAGCAGCCGCGGUAAUACGUAGGGGGCGAGCGUUGUCCGGAAUGACUGGGCGUAAAGGGUACGUAGGCGGCUAGAUAAGUCAGAUGUGAAAGCCCUCGGCUUAACCGAGGUAAGCAUUUGAAACUGCAUAACUUGAGUGCAGGAGAGGAGAGUGGAAUUCCUAGUGUAGCGGUGAAAUGCGUAGAUAUUAGGAAGAACACCAGUGGCGAAGGCGACUCUCUGGACUGUAACUGACGCUGGGGCACGAAAGCGUGGGGAGCGAACAGGAUUAGAUACCCCAGUAGUC